GAAUGUGUAAGACUGAUGAUGUGUAUAAGGCCUCUGCAUGUUUUGGUUUUGUAUUUGUGUAUUUAUGUAAGCUGAUAAACACCUUAAUUUUGUUUGGAAUUAGGCCUAACAUGAUAAAAAGUACUUCACUCUAUUCUACAUCCGCAGCUCCAUGAAUGUCAUGAGACACUCCAGGAGACGGUGGUUGCAAUGCAUUAUCAACACCCCGCAACCCCAACCCUCCAAUGGAACCCAGAACCCUCCGGAGUUCCUCAGGACCUGUCGGCAUGAGUGAGGCGAACACAUCGUGCGUUGGAGGAAGAGUUGCAGUGACGACUUGGACCACAGGCCAGAAGCCUGAAAUAGAUUCUUUGAGAAUCUUAAAAGUCAAACAACUGGGCCUUGCGGGGAAGACUGAUGACGUGAGAAAAAAAGGAAAAAUUUGAUGGGCAGACGUGAGCGGCAGUGGUGCUGGUGGCGCAGGAUGUCCUGGAGGAGGACGACCUCGACUACCUCAAAGGAGCUGAUGCCAGCCUUGUGUCUGAUGGGGAAACAAGUGCACAUUUGUUGUGCUCUGUCUGAGAUGGAGAAGUGUGCGCCUUGCUGGCGUACUUCAAUUGAUGCCAGCAAGCCCAGCCAGCGAGUGACCGAUAGUGGCCGGUUCUCCC